UAAGGAAUCUUCCGCAAUGGGGGCAACCCUGACGGAGCGACGCCGCGUGGAUGAAGAAGCCUUUCGGGGUGUAAAAUCCUUUUCUCGGGGAUGAGAGGGACAGUACCCGAGGAAGAAGCCUCGGCUAACUACGUGCCAGCAGCCGCGGUAAUACGUAGGAGGCGAGCGUUGUCCGGAAUUACUGGGUGUAAAGCGCGCGUAGGUGGACGACCAAGUCUGUGGUGAAAUCGCCCGGCUCAACUGGGCGGGGUCCGUGGAAACUGGUCGACUGGAGGACGGUAGAGGCGAGUGGAAUUCCCGGUGUAGUGGUGAAAUGCGUAGAGAUCGGGAGGAACACCAGUGGCGAAGGCGGCUCGCUGGGCCGGUCCUGACACUGAGGCGCGAAGGCGUGGGGAGCGAACGGGAUUAGAUACCCCCGUAGUCC
rnacentral:rRNA from 1 species